rnacentral:rRNA from 1 species
UACAGAGGGUGCAAGCGUUAAUCGGAAUUACUGGGCGUAAAGGGCGCGUAGGUGGUUAUGUAAGUGAGAUGUGAAAGCCCCGGGCUUAACCUGGGAAUUGCAUCUUAUACUGCGUGACUGGAGUGCAAUAGAGGGUAGUGGAAUUUCCGGUGUAGCGGUGAAAUGCGUAGAUAUCGGAAGGAACACCAGUGGCGAAGGCGGCUACCUGGAUUGACACUGACACUGAGGCGCGAGAGCGUGGGGAGCAAACAGG